rnacentral:rRNA from 1 species
AUAAUGGGUCAGCGACUUAUAUUCUGUAGCAAGGUUAACCGAAUAGGGGAGCCGAAGGGAAACCGAGUCUUAACUGGGCGUUAAGUUGCAGGGUAUAGACCCGAAACCCGGUGAUCUAGCCAUGGGCAGGUUGAAGGUUGGGUAACACUAACUGGAGGACCGAACCGACUAAUGUUGAAAAAUUAGCGGAUGACUUGUGGCUGGGGGUGAAAGGCCAAUCAAACCGGGAGAUAGCUGGUUCUCCCCGAAAGCUAUUUAGGUAGCGCCUCGUGAAUUCAUCUCCGGGGGUAGAGCACUGUUUCGGCAAGGGGGUCAUCCCGACUUACCAACCCGAUGCAAACUGCGAAUACCGGAGAAUGUUAUCACGGGAGACACACGGCGGGUGCUAACGUCCGUCGUGAAGAGGGAAACAACCCAGACCGCCAGCUAAGGUCCCAAAGUCAUGGUUAAGUGGGAAACGAUGUGGGAAGGCCCAGACAGCCAGGAUGUUGGCUUAGAAGCAGCCAUCAUUUAAAGAAAGCGUAAUAGCUCACUGGUCGAGUCGGCCUGCGCGGAAGAUGUAACGGGGCUAAACCAUGCACCGAAGCUGCGGCAGCGACGCUGAUGCGUUGUUGGGUAGGGGAGCGUUCUGUAAGCCUGUGAAGGUGUGCUGUGAGGCAUGCUGGAGGUAUCAGAAGUGCGAAUGCUGACAUAAGUAACGAUAAAGCGGGUGAAAAGCCCGCUCGCCGGAAGACCAAGGGUUCCUGUCCAACGUUAAUCGGGGCAGGGUGAGUCGACCCCUAAGGCGAGGCCGAAAGGCGUAGUCGAUGGGAAACAGGUUAAUAUUCCUGUACUUGGUGUUACUGCGAAGGGGGGACGGAGAAGGCUAUGUUGGCCGGGCGACGGUUGUCCCGGUUUAAGCGUGUAGGCUGGUUUUCCAGGCAAAUCCGGAAAA